ACACCAGGCUGUACUCAAUUCAAAUUGGAACAAUUCAGAAGAUUAGCAUGGCUCACAAGUCAAACUGACACACAAAUUCAUGAAAUGUUCCAUAUUUCU
rnacentral:snRNA from 1 species